GGGGGCUUAGCUCAGCUGGGAGAGCGAUAGCUUUGCAAGCUAUAGGUCAUCGGUUCGAUCCCGAUAGCCUCCACCA
rnacentral:tRNA from 5 species